CAGGAUUAGAUACCCUGGUAGUCCACGCCGUAAACGAUGUCGACUUGGAGGUUGUUCCCUUGAGGAGUGGCUUCCGGAGCUAACGCGUUAAGUCGACCGCCUGGGGAGUACGGCCGCAAGGUUAAAACUCAAAUGAAUUGACGGGGGCCCGCACAAGCGGUGGAGCAUGUGGUUUAAUUCGAUGCAACGCGAAGAACCUUACCUACUCUUGACAUCCAGCGAACUUAGCAGAGAUGCUUUGGUGCCUUCGGGAACGCUGAGACAGGUGCUGCAUGGCUGUCGUCAGCUCGUGUUGUGAAAUGUUGGGUUAAGUCCCGCAACGAGCGCAACCCUUAUCCUUUGUUGCCAGCGAUUCGGUCGGGAACUCAAAGGAGACUGCCGGUGAUAAACCGGAGGAAGGUGGGGAUGACGUCAAGUCAUCAUGGCCCUUACGAGUAGGGCUACACACGUGCUACAAUGGCGCAUACAAAGAGAAGCGACCUCGCGAGAGCAAGCGGACCUCACAAAGUGCGUCGUAGUCCGGAUCGGAGUCUGCAACUCGACUCCGUGAAGUCGGAAUCGCUAGUAAUCGUGGAUCAGAAUGCCACGGUGAAUACGUUCCCGGGCCUUGUACACACCGCCCGUCACACCAUGGGAGUGGGUUGCAAAAGAAGUAGGUAGCUUAACCUUCGGGAGGGCGCUUACCACUUUGUGAUUCAUGACUGGGGUGAAGUCGUAACAAGGUAACCGUAGGGGAACCUGCGGUUG
rnacentral:rRNA from 1 species